GCCCCCUUCGUUCAGUGGUUAGGACAUCAGAUUUUCACUCUGGAAACAGGGGUUCAAUUCCCCUAGGGGGUACCA
rnacentral:tRNA from 31 species